rnacentral:rRNA from 1 species
UAGGGAAUCUUCCACAAUGGACGCAAGUCUGAUGGAGCAACGCCGCGUGAGUGAAGAAGGUUUUCGGAUCGUAAAGCUCUGUUGUUGGUGAAGAAGGAUAGAGGUAGUAACUGGCCUUUAUUUGACGGUAAUCAACCAGAAAGUCACGGCUAACUACGUGCCAGCAGCCGCGGUAAUACGUAGGUGGCAAGCGUUGUCCGGAUUUAUUGGGCGUAAAGCGAGCGCAGGCGGAAGAAUAAGUCUGAUGUGAAAGCCCUCGGCUUAACCGAGGAACCGCAUCGGAAACUGUUUUUCUUGAGUGCAGAAGAGGAGAGUGGAAUUCCAUGUGUAGCGGUGGAAUGCGUAGAUAUAUGGAAGAACACCAGUGGCGAAGGCGACUCUCUGGUCUGCAACUGACGCUGAGGCUCGAAAGCAUGGGUAGCGAACAGG